CUCAACAUGACUUUUACAGUCUGUUUGAUUUAUUUCACAGCACUGCCAUUCUUGGUCUUUAAGUAGACCUUAAACAACCAUUGUUUUCUGUAUUUUCAUAUUUUCACAACAAUUUUAUAAUGCUUGUCAUUUUCUUUUAAACAGGGGAUUCACUGAGUGAAAAAGUUCAUCAAAUGUCAAAAGACAUGCUAAACGCAAGAGCCUGUUACACUCACCUGAUCUCACACAAUACCAAGCUAUUAUAUGAUAUUAUAAUAUGAGCAGCUAAAGGGGACAGUGUGCUAAAUCUCACUGGAUAUGUGCUUUAUAAAAACCAAGCAACAGAAAGUCAAUACAUAAAUUAGAGUUGAUAAACAGACCUUGGCCAAUCUUUUGUACUGCUCUAUAAUAAAAACGUUUUUAAAAAUGGUGUAAUUACUAUCAAAACCAGUAGGAGUCUCUUUUCGACCAAAUCUUAGUAGAGAAACAUUAAAGGGAGUGGGACAGGCUUUAUGCUUAUAGAAUGCUGGGCAUUCGUUUGUUAUGGGUGGUGUAUUCUGUACAUCCUUCAGAGAACUCCAGCACUGAAACAUCAACAUGACAUUCACAAUCUGUUUGAUUUUUUUCACAGCACUGCCAUUCUUGGUCUCAGGGGAAUCAUUAAGUGACAAAGUUAAUCAAACUCCAAAAGACAAGCUGGUUAAAGCUCAAGAACCUGUUACACUCAACUGCUCUCACACAAUAUCAACCUAUAACAUGAUAUUAUGGUAUGAGCAGGUGUUAGGUGCACUACAUCUUAUUGGAUAUAUGCGUUUAGAAAGUGCAUCCACUGAAGACCAAUACACAGAUCAUUUCAAAAUUAAAGGAGAUGGUAGAAAGUUCUCUACACUUGAGUUCCAGCUGAAUGCAUCUGGGAGUUCUGUUCUUUAUUAUUGUGCUGCCAGCAAAGCACAGUGUUAGAGAUCAUUUCAUCUGCCUACAAAAACCUCUGUUACCACAAACCAACAAUUAAUUUAGAUACAGACGUUCAUAUAGAGAUUUU
rnacentral:lncRNA from 1 species